GAAAUGCGAUAAUUAGUGUGAAUUGCGGAAUUCAGUGAAUCAUCGAGGCUUUGAACGCACAUUGCACCCCCGUGUAUUCCGGGGGGUGUGCCUGUGCGAGCGUCGUUGCUGCCCUCAAGCACGGCUUGUGUGUUGGGUCGACGUCCCCCCCCAGGGGGACGGGCCCGAAAGGCAGCGGCGGCACCGCGUCCGGUCCUCGAGCGUAUGGGGCUUUGUCACCCGCUCUUGUAGGCCCGGCCGGCUGCUGGCCGACGCUCAAAAGCAACCAACUAUUUUUCCAGGUUGACCUCGGAUCAGGUAGGGAUACCCGCUGAACUUAA
rnacentral:misc_RNA from 1 species